CCGUAACCGGGCUGCUGGGGCUGCUGCGGCUGCUGGGGGUAGCCGUAACCCGGCUGCGGCUGCUGGGGGUUCUGCGGCUUCUCGUACGGG
rnacentral:tRNA from 1 species